UACGUAGGGUGCGAGCGUUUAAUCGGAAUUACUGGGCGUAAAGCGUGCGCAGGCGGUUUUGUAAGCCAGAUGUGAAAUCCCCGGGCUUAACCUGGGAAUGGCAUUUGGGACUGCAAGGCUUGAGUGCGGCAGAGGAGACUGGAAUUCCUGGUGUAGCAGUGAAAUGCGUAGAUAUCAGGAGGAACACCGAUGGCGAAGGCAGGUCUCUGGGCUGACACUGACGCUCAUGCACGAAAGCGUGGG
rnacentral:rRNA from 1 species